rnacentral:rRNA from 1 species
GACGAACGCUGGCGGCGUGCCUAAUACAUGCAAGUCGAACGGAAAGGCGAUGCUCUUGUGGCGUGCUCGUGAGCCGAACGCGUGUGUAUAACGCGUGUAUACUCUCCCUGUCUGUGGGGUAAAACCUGGAGAAACGGGAGCUAAUAGCAGAUAAGCUCUUGAAGCACGGGGGUGGAUGGAGAGAUUCGGCGGUUGUGGAUGGAAUCGCGGCUUAUGAGCUUGUUGGUGGGGUAGUGGCUUACCAAGGCUUCGAAGGGUAGCCGGCCUGAGAGGGUGACCGGCGACAAUGGUACUGCGAUAGGGCCCAGACGGCUACGGGAGGCAGCGGUGGGGAAUAUUGCACAAUAGGCGGAAGCCUGAUGCAGCAACGCCGCGUGCGGAAUGACGGCCUUCGGGUUGUAAACCGCUUUCGACUGUGACGAAGCGUUAGUGACGGUAAUGGGUAAGGAAGCACCGGCUAACUACGUG